rnacentral:rRNA from 1 species
AUUGAACGCUGGCGGCAUGCCUUACACAUGCAAGUCGAACGGUAACAGGUCUUCGGCUGCUGACGCGUGGCGAACGGGUGAGUAAUACAUCGGAACGUGCCCGAUCGUGGGGGAUAACGCGGCGAAAGCUUUGCUCAUACCGCAUACGAUCUACGGAUGAAAGCGGGGGAUCUUCGGACCUCGCGCGGACGGAGCGGCCGAUGGCAGAUUAGGUAGUUGGUGGGAUAAAAGCUUACCAAGCCGACGAUCUGUAGCUGGUCUGAGAGGAUGAUCAGCCACACUGGGACUGAGACACGGCCCAGACUCCUACGGGAGGCAGCAGUGGGGAAUUUUGGACAAUGGGCGAAAGCCUGAUCCAGCCAUGCCGCGUGCAGGAUGAAGGCCUUUGGGUUGUAAACUGCUUUUGUACGGAACGAAAAGCCUCUUGCUAAUAAAGAGGGGUCAUGACGGUACCGUAAGAAUAAGCACCGGCUAACUACGUG